GUCAAGAUGGCCGGUGGUCUAAGGCGCUGCACUUAAGAUAUUGUCUUAUCGCACCUAGUUAGCUAGGUCUUGCAGUGUCGAAAAAUUGUUGGGUUCGAAUCCCAAUCUUGACA
rnacentral:tRNA from 1 species